AGCGAACGCUGGCGGCAGGCCUAACACAUGCAAGUCGAACGAAGUCUUCGGACUUAGUGGCGGACGGGUGAGUAACACGUGGGAACGUACCUUUUGGUUCGGAACAACUCAGGGAAACUUGAGCUAAUACCGGAUGAGCCCUUCGGGGGAAAGAUUUAUCGCCAUUAGAGCGGCCCGCGUUAGAUUAGCUAGUUGGUGAGGUAAAGGCUCACCAAGGCUACGAUCUAUAGCUGGCCUGAGAGGAUGAUCAGCCACACUGGGACUGAGACACGGCCCAGACUCGUACGGGAGGCAGCAGUGGGGAAUCUUGCGCAAUGGGCGAAAGCCUGACGCAGCCAUGCCGCGUGAAUGAUGAAGGUCUUAGGAUUGUAAAAUUCUUUUACCAGGGACGAUAAUGACGGUACCUGGAGAAAAAGCCCCGGCUAACUUCGUGCCAGCCGCCGCCGUAA
rnacentral:rRNA from 1 species